AUCGCUUCUCGGCCUUUUGGCUAAGAUCAAGUGUAGUAUCUGUUCUUAUCAGUUUAAUAUCUGAUAUGUCCCCUAUAUGGGGAUAACGUAUUAAACCCAUUUUUAGGAGAGGGAGCUGAAAAGGGAGCUUGCUCCGCUCACUCCGCUCACUCCACGCAUCGACCUGGCAUUGCAGUGCCGCCGGGAACGGUGCACCUUUC